CAGUAGCCGCGGUAAAACGUAGGUGGCAAGCGUUGUCCGGAAUUAUUGGGCGUAAGGGGCUCGCAGGCGGUUUCUUAAGUCUGAUGUGAAAGCCCCCGGCUCAACCGGGGAGGGUCAUUGGAAACUGGGAAACUUGAGUGCAGAAGAGGAGAGUGGAAUUCCACGUGUAGCGGUGAAAUGCGUAGAGAUGUGGAGGAACACCAGUGGCGAAGGCGACUCUCUGGUCUGUAACUGACGCUGAGGAGCGAAAGCGUGGGGAGCGAACAGGAUUAGAUACCCGUGUAGUCCCUGUCUCUUAUAA
rnacentral:rRNA from 1 species